rnacentral:rRNA from 1 species
AACGAACGCUGGCGGCAUGCCUAACACAUGCAAGUCGAACGAGACCUUCGGGUCUAGUGGCGCAAGGGUGCGUAACGCGUGGGAACCUGCCCUUAGGUUCGGAAUAACUCCCCGAAAGGGGUGCUAAUACCGGAUAAUGUCUUCGGACCAAAGAUUUAUCGCCUUUGGAUGGGCCCGCGUUGGUUUAGCUAGUUGGUAGGGUAAAAGCCUACCAAGGCGACGAUCCAUAGCUGGUCUGAGAGGAUGAUCAGCCACACUGGGACUGAGACACGGCCCAGACUCCUACGGGAGGCAGCAGUGGGGAAUAUUGGACAAUGGGCGAAAGCCUGAUCCAGCAAUGCCGCGUGAGUGAUGAAGGCCUUAGGGUUGUAAAGCUCUUUUACCCGGGAUGAUAAUGACAGUACCGGGAGAAUAAGCUCCGGCUAACUCCGUG